GAUCAUGGCUCAGGAUGAACGCUAGCUACAGGCUUAACACAUGCAAGUCGAGGGGCAGCAUGAACUUAGCUUGCUAAGUUUGAUGGCGACCGGCGCACGGGUGAGUAACACGUAUCCAACCUGCCGAUGACUCGGGGAUAGCCUUUCGAAAGAAAGAUUAAUACCCGAUGGCAUAGUUCUUCCGCAUGGUAGAACUAUUAAAGAAUUUCGGUCAUCGAUGGGGAUGCGUUCCAUUAGGUUGUUGGCGGGGUAACGGCCCACCAAGCCUUCGAUGGAUAGGGGUUCUGAGAGGAAGGUCCCCCACAUUGGAACUGAGACACGGUCCAAACUCCUACGGGAGGCAGCAGUGAGGAAUAUUGGUCAAUGGACGAGAGUCUGAACCAGCCAAGUAGCGUGAAGGAUGACUGCCCUAUGGGUUGUAAACUUCUUUUAUACGGGAAUAAAGUGAGGCCACGUGUGCCUUUUUGUAUGUACCGUAUGAAUAAGGAUCGGCUAACUCCGUG
rnacentral:rRNA from 1 species